CACUGAAACAGUCCCAAGGGAACGUGCAAAUUUCCGCGUAUCUGAUAUAAAAAAGUCCCUUGCGACUUCCGCUUUGACUGUCUCUUUUCUAGUUCUAGCGUUCCGUUGUAGUAACAGGAUACCUUGACAGUAUGCUGGGAUAUUACCCGUUUCCCUUUGUUAUCCAGGUUCUAGCCGAGAGAAUGCGUCAAGUGACGUGCACUCCUAACCUCCCAGUAUCAACAAAGCCUUAUUUGUUACCAAGAAAGAGAGGAAGUGAUCACACAUCUAGUCUUUUGUCGUUGUCAUGGACGGUGACAAGGUCAAGUCUCUCUAGAUGUAAAUCAAUAUGCAGAUUUCUGGGGACUUAACGCAGUGCUAACAAUUCGCAUUUAAGAUUUAAUUUCUUAUACCGGGAAGAGGUAUUCGGAUUCCUUACUGGAUGGAUAAUCAAAAGAAUGCAACAGGUAUCCGAGGGAAAAAUGGUUAGAUGUAACCUUGGUCCUAGAGACACUCCCACCAUCGAAAACCCGAAAGUGCGACGGACGAAUGCCGACGGGAGGGCGACAUAUGCGGCUUGCCUCGACUUCAGUAAAAACCCGCGGGUAAGAACCUAGAUUUUUUCAAGUCUGGCAAAACGGGUUCUUUUAUUUUUGGGUACUUACUAACAAUUAAGGCAAAAUAAGUUCCAAGUUGCUUAAUUAACACUAGGAUUUAUAAUCACAGAAGUGUGACUGAAUACAAAGCCACUUUGCUGCUCACUCGUAAAAUAUUGUUUCCACCACUCGAAAAUAAACUUCAUAUCUUC